AGAGUUUGAUCAUGGCUCAGAUUGAACGCUGGCGGCAGGCCUAACACAUGCAAGUCGAACGGUAACAGGAAACAGCUUGCUGUUUCGCUGACGAGUGGCGGACGGGUGAGUAAUGUCUGGGAAACUGCCUGAUGGAGGGGGAUAACUACUGGAAACGGUAGCUAAUACCGCAUAACGUCGCAAGACCAAAGAGGGGGACCUUAGGGCCUCUUGCCAUCGGAUGUGCCCAGAUGGGAUUAGCUAGUAGGUGGGGUAACGGCUCACCUAGGCGACGAUCCCUAGCUGGUCUGAGAGGAUGACCAGCCACACUGGAACUGAGACACGGUCCAGACUCCUACGGGAGGCAGCAGUGGGGAAUAUUGCACAAUGGGCGCAAGCCUGAUGCAGCCAUGCCGCGUGUAUGAAGAAGGCCUUCGGGUUGUAAAGUACUUCCAGCGGGGAGGAAGGGAGUAAAGUUAAUACCUUUGCUCAUUGACGUUACCCGCAUAAGAAGCACCGGCUAUCUCCGUGCCAGCAGCCGCGGUAAUACGGAGGGUGCAAGCGUUAAUCGGAAUUACUGUGGGUAAAGCGUACGCAGGCGGUUUGUUAAGUCAGAUGUGAAAUCCCCCGGGGCUCAACCU
rnacentral:rRNA from 1 species